rnacentral:rRNA from 1 species
UACGUAGGGUGCGAGCGUUAAUCGGAAUUACUGGGCGGAAAGUGUGCGCAGGCGGCAGAGCAAGUCGAGUGUGAAAGCCCCGGGCUUAACUUGGGAAUUGCGCUCGAAACUACUUUGCUGGAGUGUGGCAGAGGAAGGUGGAAUUCCACGUGUAGCGGUGAAAUGCGCAGAUAUCAGGAGGAACACCGGUGGCGAAGGCGGGUCUCUGGGCCGAUACUGACGCUGAGGAGCGAAAGCGUGGGGAGCAAACAGG